UACUGCUGACAUCUAGGUGGUCAUGGUUUUUGAUUGAACUGUAUUCACGUUGGCUGCGAUAGAACCAGUCAAUCGAUAUAAUUACUUUAAAUUUAGACUCACCUGGUGUCAAGUGGUU